rnacentral:misc_RNA from 1 species
ACCCAUCAAUCAAACAAUUCCAAGAAACAAUAUCUGGAUUCUCAAUCCUGUCAAACAAGCGAUGAAUCACAAUUCCUAUCUCUCCAAUCUUCAUAUAAAAAUCCAUCAAGGAAUUCCAAGAAUGAGGCCCAAACUUAACAGGGCAUUUUAUCAUCUGAGCAUGAGCUUGCUUGCCUUCAGAAACACCAUUAAACUUAGAGCAAGCAGAAAACACAAAAGUAAAAGUGAAAUCAUCAGGAUACGCAGAAUCCUCACGUACCAUUUUUGAAUAAACAACAAAUGCCUCUCUUGGAUUACCACAAUUCACGUAGGCCCUUAUCAUGGUAUUAUACAUGAAUGAAUUUCUUGGGAUAUCGAUGGUAUCAAACAGUUUUUGGGCAUAGUCAAGAGUACCCAGAUUAUCAACGGAGGCAAAUGAUAAAAGGAGACUGCCAAAGGCAUGUUUUUCUCUGAUAAGGGAGGUCUUGACAAGAAGGGUAUGCACUUGUGCUAGCUCUUCUACUUUUUUACAGAUUUGAAGUAGUGAAAUGGCAGGAUCAGGUUUCCUAGAUUCAGAUUUUUGUCGAGAGUUAAGCACGAAUUUGUUUGCCAUUGACAAAAUAUAGGGAGCGGAAGCUAUGCUCAUGUCCAGCCUAGCUUUCCUUCCCCAGAAAACGAG